rnacentral:rRNA from 1 species
UACGUAGGGCGCAAGCGUUAUCCGGAAUUAUUGGGCGUAAAGAGCUCGUAGGCGGUUUGUCGCGUCUGCCGUGAAAGUCCGGGGCUCAACUCCGGAUCUGCGGUGGGUACGGGCAGACUAGAGUGAUGUAGGGGAGACUGGAAUUCCUGAUGUAGCGGUGAAAUGCGCAGAUAUCAGGAGGAACACCGAUGGCGAAGGCAGGUCUCUGGGCAUUACCUGACGCUGAGGAGCGAAAGUGUGGGGAGCGAACAGG